GUCCGUACGGGACAUCCGAUAAAAGUGGAAUGAUAUAGAGAAGAUUAGCACGGCCCUAGUGCGAGGUGACAUGUAUAAAUCGAGAAAUGAUGCAAAAUUCU